rnacentral:lncRNA from 1 species
AAGUUUAUAGCGUUUGGAUUUAGUGCGGUGUUAGUGAUGGACAAGGUGCUUGUCUUUAUAUUUAUCCUCUGCGUCGCUCAGGGAUCCUUCAUCAUCAGAGAAGUCUACACGCUUAGCUCAUUCUUGAGCAAACACGUUAGUAACGCGACUGAACUACCUCUGACCUACCCGGUCUCCGGCAUGACUCUGAUCAAGGCCCCGCCGAGGAUAAUUAAAUGCGGGGCGAACAGGAAACCUGACUCCAAAGGGAAGUGUAGACUCAUUUGGAAAUAAUACCGACAUCUUUCCCCAAAGGUCUGACAAUCUGGGAACUCGAUGAAUCGGGCUUAUUUAUUUUAAAUUUAUUC